GGAAUAUUGGACAAUGGGGGCAACCCUGAUCCAGCCAUGCCGCGUGCGUGAAGAAGGCCUUAGGGUUGUAAAGCGCUUUCACUGGUGAAGAUAAUGACGGUACCCGCCGAAGAAACCCCGGCUAACUUCGUUCCAGCAGCCGCGGUAAUACGAAGGGGGCUAGCGUUGUUCGGAUUUACUGGGCGUAAAGCGCGCGUAGGCGGGUCGUUAAGUCAGGGGUGAAAUGCCGAGGCUCAACCUCGGAACUGCCUUUGAUACUGGCGACCUGGAGUUCGGGAGAGGUGAGUGGAAUUCCGAGUGUAGAGGCGAAAUUCGUAGAUAUUCGGAGGAACACCAGAAGCGAAGGCGGCUCACUGGCCCGAUACUGACGCUGAGGCGCGAAAGCGUGGGGAGCAAAC
rnacentral:rRNA from 1 species